AGUGAACGCUGGCGGUAGGCCUAACACAUGCAAGUCGAACGGCAGCACAGUAAGAGCUUGUUCUUACGGGUGGCGAGUGGCGGACGGGUGAGGAAUACAUCGGAAUCUACUUUUUCGUGGGGGAUAACGUAGGGAAACUUACGCUAAUACCGCAUACGACCUACGGGUGAAAGCAGGGGAUCUUCGGACCUUGCGCGAUUGAAUGAGCCGAUGUCGGAUUAGCUAGUUGGCGGGGUAAAGGCCCACCAAGGCGACGAUCCGUAGCUGGUCUGAGAGGAUGAUCAGCCACACUGGAACUGAGACACGGUCCAGACUCCUACGGGAGGCAGCAGUGGGGAAUAUUGGACAAUGGGCGCAAGCCUGAUCCAGCCAUACCGCGUGGGUGAAGAAGGCCUUCGGGUUGUAAAGCCCUUUGUUGGGAAAGAAAAGCAGCAGGUUAAUACCCCGCUGUUCUGACGGUACCCAAAGAAUAAGCACCGGCUAACUUCGUG
rnacentral:rRNA from 1 species